rnacentral:rRNA from 1 species
AGAGUUUGAUCCUGGCUCAGAAUCAACGCUGGCGGCGCGCCUAACACAUGCAAGUCGAACGAGAAAGUGGAGCAAUCCAUGAGUACAGUGGCGUACGGGUGAGUAACACGUGGAUAACCUACCUUUUAGUGGGGAAUAACCGAGGGAGACCUUGGCUAAUACCGCAUAAUCCCGAGAGGGGAAACGCGAAAGCGGCUGAAAGAGGGGUCCGCGGCCGAUUAGCUAGUUGGCAGGGUAAAAGCCUACCAAGGCAAAGAUCGGUAGCCGGCCUGAGAGGGCACACGGCCACACUGGCACUGAAACACGGGCCAGACUCCUACGGGAGGCAGCAGUGGGGAAUCUUGCACAAUGGGGGAAACCCUGAUGCAGCGACGCCGCGUGAGCGAUGAAGCCCUUCGGGGUGUAAAGCUCUUUCGGCAGGGAAGAUGAUGACGGUACCUGCAGAAGCAGCUGCGGCUAACUACGUGCCAGCAGCCGCGGUAAUACGUAGGCAGCAAGCGUUGUUCGGAGUUACUGGGCGUAAAGGGUGUGUAGGCGGUUGUUUAAGUUUGGUGUGAAAUCUCCCGGCUCAACCGGGAGGGUGCGCCGAAUACUGAAUGACUUGGAGUGCGGGAGAGGAAAGUGGAAUUCCUGGUGUAGCGGUGAAAUGCGUAGAUAUCAGGAGGAACACCGGUGGUGUAGACGGCUUUCUGGACCGUAACUGACGCUGAGACACGAAAGCGUGGGUAGCAAACAGGAUUAGAUAC